UGUCGGAAAAUUCGUCUGUAAUUACAGACGGAAAAUCUGUCUGAAAAUCCGUCUGUAAUGACAGACAGAAAAUUCGUCUGAAAAUCCGUUUGUAAUUACAGAUAGAAAAUUCGUCGGAAAAUCCGUCUGUAAUUACAGACGAAAAAUCCAUCGGAAAGUUCGUCGUCUUCAGGAAAUGGAUGAAGAAUUUACAGAGGGAAAAUCUGUCGAUAAUUGGUAAAAAUUCGUCGGUAAUUUUUCGACGGAAAAAAAAUUCGUCGGUAAAUAAUUUCCGACGGAGCUUUUACAGAAGGACAAAAUUCAUUGGUGAUUCCUU